rnacentral:lncRNA from 1 species
CCCUCCUCAGACUUUGGAGGCCAGGCAGGUUUGGAGGCCUUUGAGUCGGGCGUGGCAGCAGCUCACAGGGUCCCGGGAGGGAGUACUGCAAGGCUAAACAGACUCGGAUCCGUCUGUGAUGAUACAAGUCUUGACCAGCUCGAACACUUACACUUGUUACCUGCUUGUUGAUUGGUUCAGGGCAUCCGUCUGCCUCUAAACAAGCCUCACAGCCUACAGAAUUGUGGAAGAGGAAGCAAUCCAAUUAGGACAAACCAUCAAGAAGCAUCUAUCAAGUACCUUCUAU